rnacentral:tRNA from 1 species
GGUUCCAUGGUGUAAUGGUUAGCACUCUGGACUCUGAAUCCAGAAUAUGGUACCC